rnacentral:rRNA from 1 species
AUAUUGGUCAAUGGACGGAAGUCUGAACCAGCCAUGCCGCGUGCAGGAAGACGGCCCUACGGGUUGUAAACUGCUUUUGUACGGGAACAAACCCAGGUACGUGUACCUGGCUGAGUGUACUGUAAGAAUAAGGAUCGGCUAACUCCGUGCCAGCAGCCGCGGUAAUACGGAGGAUCCGAGCGUUAUCCGGAUUUAUUGGGUUUAAAGGGUGCGUAGGCGGCCAUUUAAGUCAGGGGUGAAAUACGGCAGCUCAACUGUCGCAGUGCCUUUGAUACUGAUUGGCUUGAAUGCGGAUGAGGUAGGCGGAAUGAGACAAGUAGCGGUGAAAUGCAUAGAUAUGUCUCAGAACUCCGAUUGCGAAGGCAGCUUACUAAGUCGUGAUUGACGCUGAUGCACGAAAGCGUGGGGAUCAAACAGG